rnacentral:pre_miRNA from 1 species
GCGUUCACGGCGUGGUCCUUGGUGUGACUACAACAAUUAAGGCACGCGGUGAAUGCCA